UGUAAGCGUAUACCAAAGUUGUUGCAGUUAAAACGCUCGUAGUCGGAAUUUGGCAGUUCCGGAUGUGUGCACGUCGUGUGCGCACUUCGCGGGGAUUGCUUUUGUGGUCUUUCGUAGGAUGAGGCACUUUUAUUAGUGAACGUCCUCACGCAACCACUUUUUACUGUGAGAAAAUCAGAGUGCUCAAAGCAGGCAUUUGCCGUGAAUGUAUUAGCAUGGAAUAAUAGAAUAGGACUUGGUUCUAUUUUGUUGGUUUGUUGGGACUGAGUAAUGAUUAAGAGGGACAGUUGGGGGCAUUUGUAUUUCGGUGCUAGAGGUGAAAUUCUUAGAUUACCGAAAGACAAACUGCUGCGAAAGCGUCUGCCAAGGAUGUUUUCAUUGA
rnacentral:rRNA from 1 species